ACAGCAGUCGCCGCGGUAAUACGAAGGGUGCAAGCGUUAAUCGGAAUUACUGGGCAUAAAGCGUGCGCAGGCGGUUUGUUAAGUCAGAUGUGAAAUCCCCGAGCUUAACUCGGGAACUGCAUUUGAAACUGGCAAGCUAGAGUCUUGUAGAGGGGGGUAGAAUUCCAGGUGUAGCGGUGAAAUGCGUAGAGAUCUGGAGGAAUACCGGCGGCGAAGGCGGCCCCCUGGACAAAGACUGACGCUCAGGUGCGAAAGCGUGGGGAGCAAACAGGAUUAGAUACCCGCGUAGUCCCUGUCUCUUAUAC
rnacentral:rRNA from 1 species